GGAUAAGUAGUUUAAGUUUAAAUCAUAACACUGAAAAUGUUAAGAUGGCAUCGCCCUUCUCCA
rnacentral:tRNA from 1 species